rnacentral:rRNA from 1 species
GACGAACGCUAGCGGCGGGCUUAAUACAUGCAAGUUUAGGGGUUCAGCAAUGGACACCGGCGGACGGGUGCGUAACACGUAUGCAACCUGCCCUUUACUGGAGGAUACUCCGGAGAAAUUCGGCACAACACUCCAUAUACUCAUACUUUCGCAUGGGAGAAUGAGGAAAGGUUACGGUAAAGGAUGGGCAUGCGUCUGAUUAGCUAGUUGGCGAGGUAACGGCUCACCAAGGCGACGAUCAGUAGCUGGUCUGAGAGGAUGAUCAGCCACACUGGCACUGAGAUACGGGCCAGACUCCUACGGGAGGCAGCAGUAGGGAAUAUUGGUCAAUGGGCGAAAGCCUGAACCAGCCACGCCGCGUGCAGGAAGAAGGUCCUCUGGAUUGUAAACUGCUUUUGCCAAGGGAUAAAGAGAGGCUAUACGCCUAAAUGAAGGUACUGGUGAAUAAGCCACGGCUAACUACGUGCCAGCAGCCGCGGUAAU